rnacentral:rRNA from 1 species
CGCCUUGCCAGCCCGCUCAGAAACUCAAAGGAAUUGACGGGGGCCCGCACAAGCGGUGGAGCAUGUGGUUUAAUUCGAUGGUACGCGAGAAACCUUACCAGGGCUUGACAUACACCGGAAGCGCCGUGAAAGCGGCGUGCCGCUUGCGGCCGGUGAACAGGUGCUGCAUGGCUGUCGUCAGCUCGUGCUGUGAAGUGUUGGGUUAAGUCCCGCAACGAGCGCAACCCCUAUCUUUAGUUGCCAUCAGUUCGGCUGGGCACUCUAUGGAGACUGCCACCUAAAGUGGAGGAAGGUGGGGAUGACGUCAAGUCAGCAUGGCCCUUACGUCCGGGGCUACACACGUGCUACAAUGGCCGGUACAAAGGGUUGCGAAGCCGUGAGGUGGAGCGAAUCUCAAAAAGCCGGCCUCAGUUCGGAUUGGAGGCUGCAACUCGCCUCCAUGAAGUCGGAAUCGCUAGUAACCGCAGAUCAGCUACGUUGCGGUGAAUACGUUCCCGGGCCUU